GACAGAGGGUGCAACCGUUGUUCGGAAUUACUGGGCGUAAAGCGCACGUAGGCGGCUUUGUAAGUUAGAGGUGAAAGCCCAGGGCUCAACCCUGGAAUUGCCUUUAAGACUGCAUCGCUAGAAUUGUGGAGAGGUAAGUGGAAUUCCGAGUGUAGAGGUGAAAUUCGUAGAUAUUCGGAAGAACACCAGUGGCGAAGGCGACUUACUGGACACAUAUUGACGCUGAGGUGCGAAAGCGUGGGGAGCAAACAGG
rnacentral:rRNA from 1 species